CUUUAGAAAAAGGAGCAUCUGUAAAUUCAGAUUUCACUAUUUCAGAGUCAGCCAGACCAUGAUUGAGCUUAAGGAUUGUGCUGCGGAUGCGGCCUGUGCAGUUCCGGGAGAAAGUCACUGUCUUGGGCAUUGCGGUCUGGUAUCAGGUCUGGAUGAUCCUUGCCUGACUCCGGGUUUGUGUACACCUCAAUCCGACUCCCUGUCCGGUACCGAGGCCGCAGUGGUGCAGCGCUUGUGGACGAUCCAUCGACAUCCUGAAAGGUCAACACUUCACCAAGCUGGGAAAAUUGAUCCUGAUAGUCAUCCCCAGGUAGUGAAAUGAAUGUACACUGAACUACAGAGGAAUCACACCCAAAUGACUUUUCCGACAUUAGUGUGGCCCCUCGGGCAGGAAUUCCUUAGCAACCAUGUUUUUUUGCAUGGGGACUGUGGCAUUUUUGCAAAACUUAAGUUUCAACGCUGGAUUUUAAAGAGAACACUUAAUAAAAUGAAGCCAACAGGACUUAUUUUAAUGAGAGAGACUAUCUGGAUGAGCAACAAAUGUCACAUUGUGUCGUAAGCUGUUGAAGGAGCGAUUUGCGCCAUUUCAAGUGUUAAUUUUGGGUAGCAGGCUUGUAUCGGCUUGAAAGCUGCAAAUUAUUCCUCUCAUCAUGAUAGCAUUAAUUAUUUUAAUUGCAAUGUGUAUGUUUAGAUUGUAAGUGAAGCUUUUAAUAAUAAUUUUCUUGAAAAACAUGAUUUUAUAUGCUGUCAGUGAGUUUUUUGUGUGAAAAAAGUGCUUAAAAUUAAAAAAAAGUCUCCUUUUUCAUCAAGAAAAGUACACUGAUUCACAAUCAAUACAUUUAUUUGGGCCUUUUGCUGAUAUAUUGGUGAAUUUCGCAUGCAAUGAUACCAGUUUUUGCCAUAAAAGUUACGCGUAACAAUAAUUAGAGACACAAAAUCAGCUGUCGUCACUUAGACUAAAAAUCAUGCAUUCCGACUUGACUGCGGCCAAUUUAGUCACCGCUUUAAAUGGCCAUUUUAAGGCCUUUUCCCCCCUCCGAAUGCACUGAAAUUGCAUAUUCAUUGUGGAAAUAGUUUAAAUCUCAUGUGGAGAAAGUUUGAAAAGGAUAGGACAAAGUUGAGUUCCCUUAAAGGUUACAUUACACUAAAUCAUUGUGUAUCCCUCCGUGGUCCAUUCGAAAGUAGUGCCUAUUUCUAAAGAGUUCCUUUUCUCUUCUUGAAUAUAAGCCAUUUAACAAUGUGAGACAUGUCUUUUGUGGUUAUUUGUAAUAUCCUGUAUGUGUCUGGAGUACUUUGAUGCCUUGGAUUGGAAGCUAACUUAAAAGAUGGACUUUUGAGGGUGUGUUUUCUAUUGUGUGGGGCUUUUGUCGAAAUUAGGAUUCCGAAACACGUUUUUCUACGGUGGGUUCAUUCGACAGCGAUUUACUUUCUUAGAAGUUGCGAGACGGUAUGUUUUUGAUUGCAAUUAUUGGAAGAGGACAGAUCCAUCUUUAAAAUGAUA